GGGAAUGUGGCUUAGUGGUAGAGUGCCUGCCUAGCAAGUAAGAAGCCUGAGGUUCAAUUUCUCAGUACCA
rfam:Dipodomys ordii contig_11986, whole genome shotgun sequence.